rnacentral:tRNA from 1 species
GUAAUGGUGGUCCAGUGGUGGAAUUCUCGCCUUCUGUGCGGGAGACCUGGAUUUGAUUUCCAGCCAGUGCA